UACAGAGGGUGCGAGCGUUAAUCGGAAUUACUGGGCGUAAAGCGUGCGUAGACGGUUAUUUAAGUCAGAUGUGAAAGCCCCGGGCUCAACCUGGGAAUUGCAUUUGAGACUGAAUAGCUAGGGUGCGGUAGAGGGAAGCGGAAUUUCCGGUGUAGCGGUGAAAUGCGUAGAUAUCGGAAGGAACAUCAGUGGCGAAAGCGGCUUCCUGGACCAGCACCGACGUCAGGCACGAAAGCGUGGGGAGCAAACAGG
rnacentral:rRNA from 1 species